UUCCUUUCCUAGUUCUUAGGUGUGAUGACUGUAUUUUCACACUCACAUUUGAGAGGUGCCACUCUCAAACCUUCUUGUGAGAUAGGCACGUUAGUAAAA